UUGCUGUAGUUUCUACAGCAAAAUUUUACAGAAUUUUACUGUAUAAACAUUUUACAAGAUGCAGCUGUAGUUCGCAAUGCAUUAUGGGUCAAAUAAGGUUUUACAGUUGUUAACAGUAUAUUUCCACGUCAACUGUAAUUCAUUUACAAGAAGCAGGUGUUGUCACUGUAGUUCCUGCUUUUUACACUAACUUACUGUAGUGUGGCAUUAUGGGAUUGCGCGCGCAUCAUUCAAAUCUGAAACCCAGCCGACUGGAGCAGCCCGAGAACGAUUGAAGAUAAGAGGCUUUAUUCAUAAUUCCUGGUGCAAAGAAUAGCAGCUGAUGUGGAGAAAUGUUCGAUGCUUCAAGACUCUGAAGCUGAUUUUAUUAGGUAAUGUAUUAAUUCUUUAAAUAAUUUGAUAAACUUGUAAUUUAGAUUACAUUUUAUAUUGAAAUACUGCAUUGUAGGUUACAUUAUUGCUUAUAUUUAUUCAUUUCAGGUCCACCCUGUGGCUUUUGACUAUUUGAGGGUCAGAUGGUUGUGAAUUCAUACCUCAACAUUGUGCGUCCCGGGAGCAGGCAUCUUUUGCACACAUUAAUUUUUUCAAAGAUGUUUUCUUGGAAUCACAACACUCACUGGAUACAAGACGGACACAUAGAGGCAAAACAAGUGGAAAAGUCUCAGAGAAG